CACAGUUUCCGGGUAUUUUAAAGAUUCGCUGCGGUGAAGCACACCAAGAAGCAAUGAGUUAUAUUCCUUAAUAAAACAAUUCAAAUGCUAUUUAUUUACAACGUCCUGAAACAGAAAGUCUCCCUUCGGCAAAUGACGUACUGACCAGACGCCUUUGUCCAUCCAGUUUGUGAUAAAACUCAAGGAUGCCUGUCCUGGAUCUGCCACCGAUGUGUUAUUUGCAUUGUGUUCAUUUUUACUGUGCUGACCUUCCCAGUGUCAGUAUGGUUUCUUCUUAAAAUUGUUCCAAAUUAUGAGAGAAUUGUAAUUUUUCGACUCGGGAGGAUCCAGCCUCCAAAAGGCCCUGGAGUUGUUUUGGUCCUGCCAUUCAUUGACCUUUGGCAAAAAGUAGACCUACAGACAAGAGCCUUCAAUAUUCCACCUUGCAAGUCUUACAGGUCUCCGAGCGUCCCUGAAGGAAGUCCACG